rnacentral:lncRNA from 1 species
UUAACUUCCGUCACUGCCAUCUUUGCUUCUUGCCUCGCCACCUUGUAGAUCACCCUAUUCGCUCUCCGUUCUUCCUCGCUUGUGCUCCCUGCCAACCUAGCGAACGCCGCCUUCUUCACCUCCACUUUUCCUUUGACUAGAUCGUUCCACCACCAGUCACCCUGAUGCCUGCCUGAAUAGCCCUUGGCUACCCCGAGCACAUCUCGUGCUACCAACCUAACCAAGUUCGCCGUCU